rnacentral:rRNA from 1 species
GAUGAACGCUGACAGAAUGCUUAACACAUGCAAGUCUUUGGCGAAGCUGUGCUUGCACAGCCUAGCCAAGGCGGACGGGUGAGUAACGCGUAAGGAACUUGCCCUGCAGUCAGGGAUAACAGACGGAAACGACUGAUAAGACCUGGUAAAGUCAGGCGGACUCAUGUCCAGCCUGAUGAAAAGAGAUGCUGCAGGAGAGCCUUGCGUCCUAUUAGCUUGUUGGUGGGGUAACGGCCCACCAAGGCGAUGAUAGGUAGCCGGCCUGAGAGGGUGGACGGCCACAAGGGGACUGAGAUACGGCCCUUACUCCUACGGGAGGCAGCAGUGGGGAAUAUUGGACAAUGGGGGCAACCCUGAUCCAGCAAUGCUGUGUGCACGAUGAAGGUUUUCGGAUUGUAAAGUGCUUUCAGCAGGGAAGAAAAAAUGACGGUACCUGCAGAAGAAGCGACGGCUAAAUACGUG